ACGAACGCUGGCGGCGUGCUUAAUACAUGCAAGUCAACUGAACUUAAGAUAGCAAUAUUUUAAGGGAGGUGGCGCACGGGUGAGUAACACGUAGGUAAUCUGCCUUUAGGUCUGACACAACCCCGAGAAAUCGGGGCUAAUAUCAGAUGAUGCAGCGGCUCGACAUCGAGACAGUUGUUAAACCUUCGGGGCCUAAAGAUGAGCCUGCGUCUGAUUAGCUGGUUGGCGGGGUAACGGCCCACCAAGGCAACGAUCAGUAGCUGGUCUGAGAGGAUGAUCAGCCACACUGGAACUGAGACACGGUCCAGACUCCUACGGGAGGCAGCAGUAAGGAAUAUUGCUCAAUGGCCGAAAGGCUGAAGCAGCAACGCCGCGUGGAGGAUGAAAUACUUUUGUAUGUAAACUCCUGUGAGAAGGGAAAAAUAUGCAGAUUUUCUGCGUUGAUUGUACCUUCAGAGGAAGCCCCGGCUAACUACGUG
rnacentral:rRNA from 1 species